ACGGGAGGCAGCAGUGGGGAAUAUUGGACAAUGGGGGCAACCCUGAUCCAGCGACGCCGCGUGAGUGAAGAAGUAUUUCGGUAUGUAAAGCUCUAUCAGUAGGGAAGAAAAAUGACAGUACCUAACUAAGAAGCCCCGGCUAACUACGUGCCAGCAGCCGCGGUAAUACGUAGGGGGCAAGCGUUAUCCGGAUUUACUGGGUGUAAAGGGAGCGUAGACGGUUUUGCAAGUCAGAAGUGAAAGCCCGGGGCCCAACCCCGGAACUGCUUUUGAAACUGUAGAACUGGAGUGCAGGAGAGGUAAGUGGAAUUCCUAGUGUAGCGGUGAAAUGCGUAGAUAUUAGGAGGAACACCAGUGGCGAAGGCGGCUUACUGGACUGUAACUGACGUUGAGGCUCGAAGGCGUGGGGAGCAAACAGGAUUAGAUACCCUGGUA
rnacentral:rRNA from 1 species